rnacentral:rRNA from 1 species
CAAUAGCGUAUAUUAAAGUUGUUGCAGUUAAAAAGCUCGUAGUUGGAUUUCUGGUGGGAGCGAUCGGUCUGGCGCUUAGCGCGAGUACUUGCAUCGUCUCCGGCCAUCCUUGGGGAGAGUCUGUCUGGCAUUAAGUUGUCGGGCAGAGGAUCCUCAUCGUUUACUGUGAAAAAAUUAGAGUGUUCAAAGCAGGCUUAUGCCGUUGAAUAUAUUAGCAUGGAAUAAUAAGAUAGGACUUUGGUACUAUUUUGUUGGUUUGCGCACCAAAGUAAUGAUUAAUAGGGACAGUUGGGGGUAUUCGUAUUCCGUUGUCAGAGGUGAAAUUCUUGGAUUUACGGAAGACGAGCUACUGCGAAAGCAUUUACCAAGGAUGCUUUCAUUAA